UACAGAGGGUGCGAGCGUUGUCCGGAAUUACUGGGCGUAAAGCGCGCGCAGGCGGUCCUUUAAGUCUGAUGUGAAAGCCCACGGCUCAACCGUGGAGGGUCAUUGGAAACUGGGGGACUUGAGUACAGAAGAGGAAAGCGGAAUUCCACGUGUAGCGGUGAAAUGCGUAGAGAUGUGGAGGAACACCAGUGGCGAAGGCGGCUUUCUGGUCUGUAACUGACGCUGAGGCGCGAAAGCGUGGGGAGCAAACAGG
rnacentral:rRNA from 1 species